AAAGCAGGAACAAGUAUAUGUUUGGCAUUUUGUGUUUUAUUAUCCUAUUUAAACUGAACAAGCAAUUAUCAGAAUUGUUGUAGAUUAGAUUGAUAUAAAAGCAUGAAGCUAAUAUACACUGCUAUUGAAGUGUAUGAACUUAUUGUGUAUUCUACACUAUUACUAUUUCAAAUCUCUCUCAGUCAGUACUUUCUGCUCUCCUUCUGUCCUUUCAGAGAGUUUACCUGAUCUGCUCACAGCUGUAAAGAUCUUGGCCGGCUCCACAGUUGAGAUUGCAGCAGCCUCUGUGGGUGAGUCGAGUCUGGUGGAUGCUGUCCGGCAAGCAGAGGAGGAAGACAAAGUUUUGGAGUCUAAAUUGGAGGUGGUAGAGCCAGAAGUCCUGGAAGCAAGUGCAGAGGUGGUAACUGAGGAAGCAGCUGUGAAGGAGGAGGAAGUGAAAUCUGCAGAGGCUGCAGAAGAUGAAGAUGCUCCAGCUGCUGAGGAGGAGACAUCUGCUCCUGUAGCAGCAGCAGCAGAGGAGGAGGAGGCAGCUGCAUCUCCUCCUGAGGAACCAACUAAUUCAGCCCCGACAGUGGAGGAGGUGGGUGAGGUUGAGGCAGAAGAUCAAACACCUGUCCCUGAAGCUGCUCCAGAGGAAGCUGUCUCCUCUACAGGGGCCUCGCCUGAAGAUGCUGCUCCUGCUGAGGAAGCAGCAUUAGCUGAGGAGGUCGUGUCAGCUGAGGAAACCACACUGGCUGACGAGGCUACACCGGCAGAGGAGGUCACACCAGCUGAGGAUGCUCCCAUCACUGCUGAAACAACACAUGCUCCCGAGGUGUCAUUGGAGGAGGAGGCAGCAGCCGAAGCUUCAGCAGAGGAGAUGGUGGAAGCUGCAGCAGUUGUGAACACGACUCAGCUGGCAGCAGCAUCCUCAGGGUUGGACCUGGAGGUCCUUCCAGCGGCAGAGCCAGGACCUACAUCUGAAGCUCCAGUACAUGAGGCCAAACACUGCCACUCCUGCCACUCUGCUCCAUCAGCAGCAGAGGAGGCGGCGCCACCUGCUGCUUUGGCAGCACAGCUGACCAGUGAGGGAACUGUGGAUAUAACACAUGAGGCCAGGGAGGAAGAGUCAUGGGGUGUGCCAGUGUCAGGGCCCUGGUGGCUCACAGACAUGGCCUGAUGAAGAUACCGGAAUGACACCGAGCCAUCGUUAACGUUACUGGUUCCACAUGUAAUUUUCCACAACUGAGACAAUGGUGGACAUGGAUAAAUGCAAUCCUGUUCUUAGGGUCUCCCUGCCCUGUAUGUUUGAGAUAUUUCCCUGCUCCAACACAGCUGAUUCAAAUGAUCAGCUCAUCAUCAGCUGAAGUCUGUCCAAUUCAUCGAAAUCAGGUGUGCUGUAGCAUGGAAACAUUUAAAACCAGCGAGCAAGAACAAAGGAUCGUCAUGCCACUGAGUCUUGCUUUUGUGGUGACAGCUCUAUUGAAGUCUAUAGGAGAUGCAGAGAAAAGCAUAUUAAAACCCAGCAUAUCCAUAUCAUAUGAUUUCUGUUGAAGAGUUGCCUUCAGGAGAUGAAAGACCAUACUUCAGGGAGCUCCUUGGGGGCAACCAGGAACAUGCUUUAACAACACUGGGUUGACAAAUGAAAUAUCAAACACUAUACUCAGGACAAUAUAUCAGAGGGAUGAUACUAAAGAGGAUUCCUAGCCAAAGAUGUCUAUCUGGACUGUAAAAAGCUGCUCAGUGAUGUAAUAGUACAGUUAAGAAGCUACAGAGACAAUGGUGGUGGUGACAGCCCAGUCAUGACAUGACAGACAGUGUGCCUUCCACAACCAAGCCAGGACGACGGCAAAAACAGCAUGAGGGGAACUAGCUGCAGGUUUAACUAGCUAAUGUGUCCUUUUUUGAAAUGUUAUUAUUGAGUUUUUAUUUUUUAAGUGUCCCCCUUCUGGUUCUGGUAAAUCUUCAUCAGCAGUUGUGGAAUGAUUCCCCUUGUGUCUUUUGUCCUCUACUGUAGGUGCCACACUUGCAAAGCGUUUCAUGACCAGUUGAACUGAACAUAAGUUUGGCUUGUUGUUACUGUUAUGUUGUGAUAGACUGCUUUCCAUACCAACAUGCAAACUUUACCCAGAUUUUUAAGUGGGGACACACCUAUGUUCCCUGUAAGCUGAUAACAGACCAUGUGAUUUUCCCACUCGCAUCGGUUGGUAUAAUGGCACAAAGACAUGCAUUUUUCCUGACUAUCUUAAAAUAUUUACAUGUUUUAAGACCAUUAAAUAUUUCUUAUGUUGCUAAUUUAAUAGUGAUAUGUGUUAUCAUAAGAAACCACAACAACAAUAAUAAAAAAAUAAAAUAUUGCACCAGUGGUAAUAUUUGCUUUUUGAAGCUGAUAUCCAUAGUAUAGCCAUAAUUUGGUGCAUAUCUAUUCUCUAUUUUUUUUUAGUAUUAUUGUUGUCUAUAUUUUACCUUCAACGGCAAAAGACUGAUACAUCAUUUAUAAGUUCAAAUUAUUAUUUUUGUUAUUAUUAUUAUUUUCACCCUUUUACUUAGAUGAUUCUAUUCAACAGUAACAUUUCCUCUAAACUCUCUAAAAGUCUAUGCUUUGUUUAAAUGUUUGUUGGUGCACCGCAUAAAUGAUCAUAUAUUAACUAUGUAUUGUACAAAUAUAUUAGAUAGUUAAUAUACCGCAUUCAGUGUUGUUAACUACAAUGUCUGUGUUGUCAUGAUAAUGUGCUCACAUAGACGAA